CUCAGGGAUCUGUGCACGAACGGUUGUGUCGAACGCGAUGGGGGAUCCACCCUGGGUACCGUCGUAUUUUAAAAUAAUAAAUACAAGCAAUGGAUACAUUUCUGGAUUUGUCCAGACUCAAAAAGAAUUGGAGAGUCUGCUGGAGGUCCACUCAAGGGCCACACUGACAUCGUUUGUCAAAUGGUCUGAACACAUAAAAGAUGGCACCAAAGAGAGGCAUCUAUGGCAGGUGGAGGAUUUCAAUGAAGACACCCCUCUAUGUGUGAAGAAAAGAAUGGUCCUUGCUUGUCAGCAUGGCAAAGCUCAACAGAAAAAAGAAAAGGUACAUUGGUAAACAGUAUAGUAAACAAACCCUCCUGUCUGGACCCUCAAAUCAGAGAAACUUUGGUCUGUGGGUCCU